UACGUAGGGUGCGAGCGUUAAUCGGAAUUACUGGGCGUAAAGCGUGCGCAGGCGGUUCGUUGUGUCGGCGGUGAAAGCCCCGGGCUUAACCUGGGAAUGGCCGUUGAAACUGGCGAACUGGAGUGUGGCAGAGGGGGGUGGAAUUCCGCGUGUAGCAGUGAAAUGCGUAGAGAUGCGGAGGAACACCGAUGGCGAAGGCAGCCCCUGGGCUAACACUGACGCCUCAGGCACGAAAGCGUGGGGAGCAAACAGG
rnacentral:rRNA from 1 species